rnacentral:rRNA from 1 species
AUUGAACGCUGGCGGCAUGCCUUACACAUGCAAGUCGAACGGCAGCAUGGAGAGCUUGCUCUCUGAUGGCGAGUGGCGAACGGGUGAGUAAAGCAUCGGAACGUACCGUGUAAUGGGGGAUAACGUAGCGAAAGUUACGCUAAUACCGCAUACGACCUGAGGGUGAAAGCAGGGGAUCGCAAGACCUUGCGUUAUACGAGCGGCCGAUGUCAGAUUAGCUAGUUGGUGAGGUAAAGGCUCACCAAGGCGACGAUCUGUAGCGGGUCUGAGAGGAUGAUCCGCCACACUGGGACUGUGACACGGCCCAGACUCCUACGGGAGGCAGCAGUGGGGAAUUUUGGACAAUGGGGGCAACCCUGAUCCAGCCAUGCCGCGUGAGUGAAGAAGGCCUUCGGGUUGUAAAGCUCUUUCGGCCGGGAAGAAAUCGCACAGGCUAAUACUCUGUGUGGAUGACGGUACCGGCAUAAGAAGCACCGGCUAACUACGUGCCAGCCGCCGCAGUAA